rnacentral:rRNA from 1 species
UGAGCGCAGCCUGAGAGCCAUCCCGCGUGAGGAUGACGGCCCUAUGGGUUGUAAACUUCUUUUGUACGAAAAGCACGUGCGCUAUGUAUAGCGUAUUGACGGUACCGUACGAAUAAGCAUCGGCUAACUCCGUGCCAGCAGCCGCGGUAAUACGGAGGAUGCGAGCGUUAUCCGGAUUCAUUGGGUUUAAAGGGUGCGUAGGCGGCCCGGUAAGUCAGCGGUGAAAGUUUGCGGCUCAACCGUAAAAUUGCCGUUGAUACUGUCGGGCUUGAGUUCAGAUGAAGUGGGCGGAAUGAGUAGUGUAGCGGUGAAAUGCUUAGAUAUUACUCAGAACACCGAUUGCGAAGGCAGCCCACUAAACUGCGACUGACGCUGAUGCACGAAAGCGUGGGGAUCGAACAGGAUUAGAUACCCUGGUAGUCCACGCCGUAAACGAUGUUCACUCGCUGUUUGCGAUAUAUUGCAAGCGGCCAAGCGAAAGCAUUAAGUGAACCACCUGGGGAGUACGAUCGCAAGGUUGAAACUCAAAGGAAUUGACGGA